rnacentral:misc_RNA from 1 species
CCGAGUUUACAACUCCCAAACCCAUGUGAACAUACCUAUCGUUGCUUCGGCGGGAUCCUGCCCCGGGCGCCCUCGUGUGCCCGGAUCAGGCGCCCGCCUAGGAAACCCUAACUCUUGUAUUUCUUUAGUAAUCUUCUGAGUAGUACAAGCAAUAAAUUA